AUUUUCUUUCUAAAGUUAAAAUGCUACUAAAUAAAACAGCUUGUAACUGAUUAUAUAACUGCUUUAAACAAUGUAACAAAUACACAUGAAAGCUCUGAGGCCCUACACUGUGCAAGGCCAAGUAUGAAUGUGCCUUUGAAAAACAAGCCAGGCCAGAGAGAGAGAGACAGAAAGAAAGGGGAAAAAAGGACGAUUGGCCUUUUGCAUAAAAAAUGCUGAAUCACAGGUAUGAUGUGGUUGUUGGUACGAAGCCAUAAUAUCUGUAAUAAUGACCAACCACAAUGUCCUAUAUAUGCCAAUAGAUUUAUAAAGGCUCAUCAGACCCAUAAGUAAUACUCAUCAGGACAAGUCAUUGACAAAUAAGUCAUCAUUAAUCUGCUAUUAAACUCACAAUCCUCUUUCUAUAUACAUUUUCACUAACUGAGCACUAUAAUGUAGUCUAAACCUAUUUGACCUUGUGUCAAGGACAUAUUUUUUGCUUGUCUGGAGUUUUAAUCUCCUAACAGCAUAUUGCUCAGAUUUCUCCCUCUCUCUCCUCUCCUCUGUCACUCCAAAACACACAGUCAGUAAAGCUCUAGUGGAGAUAUUUACCUUAACACUGGCUUGGAAUAAUUUUAUCAGGCCUAAACGCAGAUGAAAGAGGGACGUUUUCAUUCCCAUCGUCGGAUCCUUUAACACAGGGCUUUUACAGAGGGGUCGGCUUGCGACGCCUCAGAGCAACAAAACCAGAAUAACCAUCUUUUCUGCCUGAUGGUUUUUUUUUUUUUUCUUAAGAAAAUGAAAUCCAGCAUAAUUUAAGAGCGCAGCCUCUGUGGAGUGAAACUGCUGGAAAUUCUUGGGGCUGAUUUUUGUUAAGAGCCUUUAUGCAAACCAUCCCCCUCAUUUUCUUGCUGAAGACAGGAUGAAGGAGAAAAAAAAUGCAUGAGCUCUUCAUUUCUCAGAGACAGACAGAGAGAUUUCAUCAGCUUUUAUUAAGGUAAUGGACAUUUCACUGCAGGGGAAACAUUUUAAGUGUAAGCUUGUUUUUUAAAACUAUAUAUAUAUAUAUAUAUAUAUUUAUAUUAUUUGCAUUUAUUGCCAUGUCCUAAUUUACAAGAAUUUGCAAACCAAACAUGAAUUGUUGUUUUUCUGCAAUUAAAAUUUUUCAAACCCUUCAUUAGCCUUUUUUUCCUGCUAUAAACUGCAAUUCUGCAUCAAGAUAAAUAAUUACUUUUUAAUGAAUAUUUUUGCUUUUUAGUUUUAAUCUUAGUUUGAACCUCUCCUUUUUGGCAAGUUGAAAAACAUGCUGCUCUUUAAUGGCUGCUUAGCUGUUGUCUGUUUUCAAAAUGGCGGAGUUUCUAACAGCAGCAGCAGCAGCAGGAGGAAGAAGAAGAAGCCGGUCCGCCAUUUCUGGGCGAGCCACACUCACAUACUACCUUACUAAAUAGUAUGUGAAAACUCCUUCACUUGAAGUUCAUCGAUUAUGUUUAUUAACAUUACCAUUUCGUUAAAGAAGACGACAAGGAUAGACUUUAAACAUUACACACUACCUUACUACAUAGUAUGUCAAAUUAAUAUGCGACCUGAGGUUUUGACAUACUAUUUAGUAGAGAAGUAUGAAGGCUUUGGAACGUAGCCAUGGUGACCUACGAGCGCCAAUAGAGGCGCAGCAUUCUCGGGCUUCCAUUUCACGCGCAGACAUUCUAACGUUCUAUUCUUCUGUUUUUAAAGGGUUUUAAUAAUCUAGAAAGUUUGGACCCAAGAUGGCGGGUUUUAACCAUAUAAGGACAUAAAAGUAGCUUAAAAUUUCAGUUACAGAGCAAAACGGGCAUUUGCUCGUCUCGUUUUCUGUAACCCCACCUUCGAGAAUGUUCCACACAGUAACUCGAUACAGGACAAGGAGUAAAGCAGAAGCUGAGAGAGAAAGAAUGGACAUUUUGUUCUAUGAUUUUGAGCACACGUGAUAUGUCUGCAAAUAGUGAGUGGUAUGUGGUGUGUAGAUCUGCGUGUAUACUGUCUUUCCCCCAUUUUAUGCAUUCAUUUUAUUGUAUUUAAUAUUUUGCAGUGUAGUGCAUGCAUUUUCCAAGGCAACUGUGUGUCUUUUUUUCCCUCCUCAGCACCUAGGCUGGGAGCAUUGCAGGAAACUAGUUACAUGUUCAGAAGCUUUCAUGGGGUCAAAUAUUCAGCAGUAAACCUAAAUGGUGCUAAAUCCUGGGUCCUGUCCAGGUUUCUUCCUAAUAUUUCUACACGAGAAAGAAAUCUUGAUAUGAAAUAUGAUUUAGAUGGUGGAAAAUGUUAACAGUGGGUACUGGCAUUCGAGUAGGAAAGGCACAAAUGUAGUGUACAAGUGAAAAAUUGAUUCAUGUCUCAGACAGAAUACAGAUCCAUGAGAUCCAACACCGACCACCAGAAUACUGCUGGGCAUAAGCAUUAUAAUGAACGAAUAUGAGAACAUGGAUGCGUCACAUGUUAAAAACAAGCUUCGAGUAGCUUCAUGCAGUUGGUCUAACCUCACAACAUAGCAGGAGUAAAAAUGGGAGCAGCCUGGAGGGUGGAGGGCACACGCAGCUCCCACAGAAGUGCUUUUGUCUGGUUCUAUUUUAAACACACAGAGGGACGGACAGAGAGAAACCCUGCUGACUGCUGUCAAGAAACUGGUUUCAUUUGCACCGGAUCCAUAAAGAAGAUUAUCAUCAUUUGAAUAGGUAUCUGUUAGGCCAUGUUUGUGAGUACACUCUGACAGUACGGCUGAUUUAGGAGCUAAUCAAUGUUGGCUGGUUAAAGAUCUGCAGAUGUGGAGAAUUUCCAGUGGAUUGAGUUUAGGGUUCAAAGGUCAGAUUAUGCGGUUAAACCUAUGACAGCAUGACUACAGGGUUUGCACACAGUGUUUGUAUUUAAAUAUAGCAUUUUGAAAAGGAAGUACUCUUUAUUGAGACUUGCUUCAAAAGUGAUUGAACGAGAGAGAAUUACUAUGGAAAUGAUAUCAUUAUCUAUCUCUGAUUAUGUAUGCAAUUCAUAUAACCUUACUCGUUUCAUCUUAAUCAGUACGUGAAAUGAAAUGCUGAAAUAUGACUGGCAAAUGAGGCGUUGUUCAGCAAACAUUUUUUUUCUAUAAAACCAGUUAAUACAAGACAAUUCCUUGAAUGUCCUGGCAUUUCAUUAAGUUCAUUUAAAGUGCUGCAAAUUAAUGAUGUUUAAGAGGAAAUUACUAAUUACUAAUUGUCGAUACUUAGUAACAUAAGAAUUACACAAUUCUGUAUAUUGUAUAUUAUUUCAAUAACAUAAGCAUGAUAUUUUUGUGUCAUGCAUACAUGUAAAAAUACAAAUGUUUAUAUUGCUUUAUAUAUUUUUGUGUAUUGUGCAUAUUUUUUAAGGCCCACAGUCUUUUUCAUCUUUUGUUCUGCUCUGCCUUAUGCUCGCUCUUUCUCUCUCACGCACACUCAAGGAUCUGACUGGCUGUUGAGUGAAUCAUUUACACAUUCCUAUGUUCUAUGUUUCUAUGUACAUAUAAAUCAUGAAUAAAACACUGUAUAGCCGUGAGAGUGUAGGUGUGUGUGGGUGUCAUAUGACUCACAUGGAGAAUUAAAGAAGAAAAUCUGGUUUCACUGAUUGCACUAAACACCUCCCUCAGAAGCUGUGUGUUUUCAGAUGCCGUGUCAUUAAAGGCUGUUUGAAAUACACCAGUGAAAUGAAGACUGCUUUCUGAGAGUGUUCAAUAAGAAUGUACUGUAUUACACAAUCUGAAAAUGUGAAGAAAAUAGUAGAAAUAGUGGUACAUGUCAAUGAGGUACAAGUCAAGAGAAAGCGUAAGCCACUUGUAUCGAAAUCGGUCAAGUAUUCAGCGGAUCACAUGGGACGGAGUAUUUUUGAUGGCACCUCAUGGCAUUUUUAUAGACUUUUGUGUGUGUGUGUGUGUGUGUGCGACUGAAUUCCGAGGAAGCAUACUGCUAAGUAAAGAUGCACAUCUAGGGUGCAGCCUACACGCAGCGCUACUGAGUGUAGUUACAUUUACAAUACAUUUACCUCAUUUGGCUGAUGAUUUUAUCCAAAAUGACUUAUAAUUGAGACAGGAUACUGGUGAGCAGUUGAGGGUUAAGGGGCCCAACAGUGGCAGCUCAGCGAUGCUGGAAAUGAUCUUGUUAUCUUCCUAUCAGUAGUCCAUUCCCAUAACCACUGAGCCACCACUGCCCAGACAUGUAGUAUGAGCAAGUUUCUUCAGUGUGACAAGGAGCUGCACUAAGAAGUAGUGUGUCCAGAAAGGCUUGUCAAAGAUUUUCAUAGCAAACUCACCACACAAGCAGUAGAGAGCUCUAAAACUACAACCUGUUUCUUUAAUACUUUUUUUUGCAUGAAAUUAACUUCAUCAAAGUGGAACAGAAAUUUUUUUUCUUCUAUGGUAAAAGCACCAUUUCCCAUUUUCUUAGCUCUCAUGUUUCUCUUCUUUAACAUUACAAUAAAAGAGAAGAAAAAUACGGCCUUUUUACUCACUGGCCUUUUUAUUCUCUUGUAACUUCGUUUAUUAUGAAGUUCUAGGUCUUACCUUAUAUGUUCAAGUAGUAAUGUAAGCACUUAAGUGCCUUGUAAUUAAUUUUAAUGUUCUAUUUCUAAGUAUUGGUGUUUCCUGUAUGGUUAUUUACAUGUACUGGAAUAAAAAACCUUUUAAACUG